rnacentral:rRNA from 1 species
GUUUGCGAUCAUACCAGCACUAAUGCACCGGAUCCCAUCAGAACUCCGCAGUUAAGCUUGCUUGGGCGAGAGUAGUACUAGGAUGGGUGACCCCCUGGGAAGUCCUCGUGUUGCAACCC